rnacentral:lncRNA from 1 species
UUCUGGAUUAUACAGUCUUUAACUCCAGUAAAGCUAGGACCGUGUUUUACGUGGAUCUUGAAAUCAGACUCUUUGUGUGCACUAGGAUUUCUUGUUUUAUUUUUAAGAUUUAAAAACAAUUUUUUCAAGGUAGCAAGGUAAUGAGUUUCGUGGUAGCAUUUUGAGGAUCCAUGUCAUCGUUCAUUGUUCUUUUCCUAGCCCCGGCUCUCUCUCUCCUCUUGUUUUCUUCUUCUUUGCUUUCACAUGUAUCUAUUUCUUUCUCUUUUUCUACCUCAACUCUUCUUAGUAGCUCUUCUUCUCCCUUCUGUAUCAUAGUCUUUGUUUCAUUACCUAUACAUAGACAUGGACAUAAAUUUAAAAAAUUUAAUCUCAACAUUGUGAGCCCUUAAGUAGGUUUAUGAAAAUUUUAAUGGAUAAUUAUAAAAAUAACAAAAAAGGGAAAUGAUUCAAAAAAAAAAACAACACACACACAAACCAUCUGCUCUGCUCUACAAGUCAGUCAUUAUUCUUCUGUGACUCAGCUCUACAGCAGCACCUGACCCAGUGCUUUGCGCAUUCAGGCAUUCAGUAGCUAGUUAUAUGUGUGAAUGGAUGAUAUGUUUUCAGCAUAAGUCCAUUAACACAGCUUUGACUUUAUUUGAUCUUACAAACUGAGAGCACAGAAUUACAGGGCAUGUGAAGAAAUAGAUAAUUUAAUGAAAAUGAAGUAUGUGUUAUUAAGUUCAGCUUCCUAUAAGUUAUUAGUGGAAGUACUCCUGCCAGCUUUACUUAAAGGAGGGUUCUCUGUUAUUUAUAAUCUCCUAAGUUACAGUAAGAAAAAUUAUAUAGUUUUUAAACAGAAGCUCACCAAUUGGAGAAAUAGUAAUAAUUUUCAAAAGUUUUUCAGAAAAAAAGUUUUUUUGAGAAAGGGGUAAGAUCCACCUAUUUACAUUGUUACUGGAAGUAGUACCAGCGUUAAAGAUCUUGUUUUCUCCUCUUUUCAUCUAUGUAUGUUUUCUGUGUGUAUGUGUAUUUUUUGAGGCCACUCUUUGCACUAGACCAUCUCUUACAUUGGUGAUAUUGGCCUAUAUCCCCAAAUGACAAAAUCAAAUCUUAUUUAUUUAAGGAGUAUUUUGCUGUUUAAUAUUUAAACAACAUUUAAUAUAUUUCAUUAUUAGUAUUAUAGCUUACAGUUUGUUUCCUGUUUGCUUAUUGCUUUACUAAGUAUUUUUUAGCAGAGGCAGAACGGCAGCUUAUACAGGAAUAAAUAAUUCAUGGUGACAAAAACCUCAAAUCUUUUUAAGUUCAAGGAACUAUUAUUUUCUUUGCUGUGCAGAGUAGGAUACAAUUUAAUUAUUAAAAGAAAAGCAUAGUAUGAAUUAGUUUACACAAAAAAGUUUUCACCUAAGGAAGAUUCACUAAUAAGUAUUGAAGAGACUUUUACCUAAAUAAAAAUUUCUGUGACUCUUAACCCAAAGUGAUGAGAGUGCUCUUUUUUUUGGAAAGUGGGCAGGGAUUAUUCAUUACACUGAUGAGCUAUGCAAGAUUUUUUGACAUUUUACAGUUACUGAGCUGGUCAAAAUUAGUCAUUUAGAACGUGGCUUUAAAUUACGUUGGAUUUUGUUUGUCUUACUGUUAUUUGUUGGCUUGAAAAUAAACCCAGAGCCACCUCCAUCCUAGGGCAAGCACUUCGGCCACUGACUUAGACUCUGAACCAUGAGUUGUGAAAUUAUUAAAGUACAGAAUCAUAGCGAAACUAGAGAAGUUUAUUUUUGAUUUUAGUCCCCUACCCCAGGGAAAGUUCUUAAAGAAUGAGUGUGAGUGAUCGUAUAUGUACACACAUACAAGUCAAAAGAAUUGCCAUUCUGUUGAGUUCAAAUUCAUGUAGAAUGUUGAGAAAAAAAAUGAGAUAAAAUCUAUAGAAAUUUGUUUUUAACUGAAAAGCUGGUGGUGGUUUUCAAAUGAAUGAAAUUUACAUUAUUCCCCUUGAAAUUACUGAACUGUGUUCAUUACCCACUUGUGUUUUAUUUUCACAUGGCGAUUCUCUUCAAUUUUAUAGUAAAAUGGAGAAUUGACUAACCUUGACUUAGAGAAUUGGAUUAGGGAUUUAAAUUAGGUCCUACAUUUUCUGGUGUAUUCAUGCCAUGUUUUGAAGUGUGUGUUGGCCCUAACAUAGGUUCUGCACUAACAUGUUGGCAGAAAAACUAAAGAAAAAUUGAAGAUGUACAACAGUUGUAUAGAUAAUUCUUUUUAAUAAGUACACAGUAGGUUAAUUAUGAUUUCAGGUCAUUGAUGUUUUAGGGAUUGUGUGUUAGGAACUGUUCAUAAGAGUAUCUUGGAAGUUACAAAUUGCCAUAUACUGAAAUACAGUAAGCAUUCUAUAUGAAUAAAGUUUGUGGACUACAACUAGUUUUGUGCCAAAAUUAAAAAGAUGGGAUUAUAUGUCAAAAUUAAGGAAACUUUCCAAGUAUUUUGUAUUCUGUUAAAUUUUGUUUCUAUUUUAAAUGUAAGUAAAGCUACUUAGCCUCC